UCAACCAAACGGACCUCAAUAGAAAAACACAACAAAGCCAUAGCUGGCAAAUGCCAAAUUAGGCAUGGUUCAAGCUUUUUCCAUGCCAGCCUUGGCUUCACCAUUUUGGGCGAAGAAGUUAUUGUUCUUGUCUUUUUCCAUCAGAAAAAGCUUUCAACGCUAUUCAAGUCUGAAAUUCAAGUUGAAAACGAAAUUAAAAAGUGGAGCAAGUCCCACAUCAUUGGUUGACAUAAGUUUGAACAUUUUUGGGCUCUAUAAAUAGAACCCGUUCCCUUCAUAUUCAAAGAGGGAGUUCAGCGGUCAAAAAAUUGGUCUUUACACCUCAAAUGGGUUUUUGACAACCCCAAGAGUGAGAACACUCAGAAACCCGACUGCGCCAUUGAGUUUCGAGGAAGUUCUCGCUCAAGUUUAAUUUUUGGAAUUCAUUUCCGUUAGUCCAAAAUCGAUUCAGGUGAAAGGUAGUUCGUCGUCAACUCUCGUCGCCCCCGUCGCUUUCUAAAAAAUGUAGUCCUCAACCCUUUUCCUUUAAAAUUUUGUCUUUAAAUCCGUAUUGAUGUGUUUUUAUUAUUGAGUAGUUAUUAAUGAGUGAUUAGCGUGUAUGUGGUUUGUUUGUUUGGUGUUGUUAAAGAUUAGUUACUAUUAGUAAAUAUUAAUUUUGUUUAACUGUGGGCAUUAUAUACACUACCUUAGCAUGGUUGUUAGUCUAGUUUCCCUUUAAUUAGUUUAGUUGAGAUAAAUCAAAUAUGAAUUAGUUACUUCAAGUUUAACUGUUCUUCAUAUGGUCCUAGAUGUGUAAGUAUUUUCUCAUUAGUUUAACAAGGAUGCUCAUCUGAUUCUCCCCUCUUUAUCUAAAUGAAGAUUUAAUUUGCUGAGGUCUUGUUUACCAUUGCAACUCAAUCUUGUUGAAAAUUCUACAUCAUCUUUUCAGUUUCUCUUCAUUGUUCUAUUUGAGAAAGUAGUAUUGAUUAGCAUGAUCUUUAGGGUUAUUAUCUUCUUUUGUGGUGUUGAUAUCUAAAUGUAGAGUCCCUGUUUGAAUAGAAAACAUAGAAUUACUGGAUUCUUUUAAAUCUGAGGUGUGUAUUUUUAUUUCUUAAAAGGUAACUUUUGGAUAGCAUGAUAUCUUGUUCAAGGAUUAGCAAAUAAAAUAAAAUUUAUAGCCAUUCUUGGAGUAAUGUAAAAAUGGAGGAAAAUAACUCACAUUUGAGUUUAGAUUAAGAGAUGGUUUUCCAGUUUCUCUUUGCUGCUUAGUUUGGAGAAAACAACAGUAAUGGUUUAGCAUGCUUAUGUCCUAUUGGAUUUUUUUGCAUAAUUCAAAAUAUUAGUUUGUUGAUUAAGGUUUUCAUGUCUCUUUGUCUUUUUUUUUUUCUAGAGUUUGCUGUGGUGUGUUUCUUUUAGAAAGCUUAAGUCUGAAUGUUAAAGGAGAAAUUUUGAUCUGGUUUGGGCUAAAACUAAUUUACACUUUCUCUUUCCAAAAUAGUUGCGAAUGCCUUCAAGCAUGGCUGCACUAUCCUUUCUUUUGACUGAACACUAACUUUAGCAUUAGCCUAUCUUUUUAUUUGAUUUAAAGUAUUGUUUCUAAGCUGUGUUAACAAGCCCAUGUUGAGUUCUAUAUGAUUUUCUGUGAAAUUUUUGCUACUGAUUAAAUCAGUUUCUUUGAGUUCAACAUUAUUUCUUUUCAGUCUCCCUUUCCUGACUUGUUUAAAGAAGUGAAAAGAUUUUAGCUUGGUUGUUUAAGGUUUUCAUUCUUCACUUGAGAUGUUGGUUCCUUCUGAAAUUCAGGGCUGAAUAGUUAAGGACAGAGUUGGUGCUCUCUGACUUUUUAGCUAGCACAUGAUAUGUUGAGGUGCUUAAGCAUUGAUUUUGUUUAAUAUUCUUCUUUUCUUUCUGCUUCUUCUGUGGUCAUUUAGUUCUUUGCUAAAGAUUGGAGUAGUGACUAAUAAACCAUGUGAAAACUAUAACUUAGCAAUCUUAACUGGUAAAAAAUAUGAAUAUGUUUAUCUUAGCAAAUGUGCUUCCUCUUAACCUGCCCUGUCUAUCCUUUUUUUGUAUCCCUCAUAUCAUUGUUUCCUUAAGCCGGUAAUGAUCAGUGGAAGGUAAACUUGGAUUUGGGGUAGUAGAAUGGAAUAGGACCUUGUUGUGCAUUUGAUAAGUAAACUCUAUGUUCAUGUGUGUAUGCAAUCAAAGUGGCAAAACCCCAACUGUUUUCAGUUACUGUCCUCAGAAAGAGGGAACCUUUUUUUUUUUUUUUUUUUUUUUUUUUUUAGUAUGGAUCCAGCCCUGUUUAAGGGAAAAUGAAGAGAUGUUUUCUUUUGAAAUAAAAUCUUGGCAUGAUCAUAUCUUUUCCAAGUCUCCAAACUGUAUAAGCUAUGUUUUGUUGGUCCUUCAUUAACUUGAACUAAGUGGA